rnacentral:lncRNA from 1 species
UUGCCUUUCCAAACACACAGUUAUAAUUCUAGUCUGCCUGAGGCAUCCAUCGCUCUGAAGGGAAAUCAGGGUCUGCUGCAGAAGGGAUACAAAGAAUAAGACCCAGGUGAUGUUCAGCUUUUGACAUUGAAAAUUCAGCUUUUGCCUAGCCCUGAGUCCUGAAGAGUUUCUCCUAUAUAGUUUUCUAAUAAUUUUUGUCUAAAGUUUUUGUCUAAAAAAUCAGCUGACAAUCCCUAACAAUCAGUUGUUUGCCAGGUGAUUAGCUGCCUCUCUACCUUCCUCGUGGUCCGAUAAACUGCAGGAACGUAUGGAAUCAUUCACACUUAGCUUGUGCUGGGCCAGGCCGCGCAUGUCACCUUGAGUUUCGCUGGCCGCUGACAAGACCUCAAGCUGCCAAGAGCUGCCGCACUAUCCUUCCCCGGCUCCCAUUUUAAUGGAAGGGGUCGCUGGCAGGGCCAGGAGAUUAAGAGCAUGCCCCUUAUUCAGCUUUAUCUCAGCAAGUAUUCAUAGUUUUAGAGUUGCAAGGGACCUUCUCAAAGGGAACAGGCUAAAACCAAGGAAUGUUCAGUGAUUUUUUUCCAAUUUACAGAAUCUUCAGCUUCUGACUCCCAGGCUGAGCUCUUUUCAUUGUCCCCACAAAGCACCAGCCAGUGGACUACUGGUCACUCCUCCUGGCCUGCCGCAGCCUCUGUCCCAUAACAGGGAGCAAACAGCUGUGGCGGCUCAGAGAAUCCGCCAGGUCGUAGCAAUUUAAUCCAGUGCUCUCAUGGGGAUCUGCUGUGAGCAUCUCAUGCAGGGGCUCCGAGCUGCCAGCUUUCCCUCCGAGCUGCCUUCAGCGUCCUGUCCUCGCCCUCACAGCCUGGGAGAUAGGAACAGAAGUACAGCUUGCUACUGGAUAAGAGCACCACCUACUUCGACGAGAGAGGGGAGAUGGCUGAUUUUCCCUCUGCCGGGGGUCCCACUAAAAGCAUAACAGUGGUUACUUGUGGAAGGAGAAGAGGAAUGGAAUUGAUUGCAAAGUGGCAUGAAGAAACUUUUGGAGGUGGUAGAUAUGCCCCCUGGUACAUAGCUGUAUAUUCUUCAUUGUGGGUCCUUCUAGUUGUGGCAUGUGGGAUGCUGCCUCUGCGUGGUCUGAUGAGCAGUGCCAUGUCCACGCCCAGGAUUCGAACCAACGGAACACUGGGCCACCUGCAACGGAGAGCGCGAACUUAACCACUCGGCCAUGGGGCCAGCCCCUGUAUACUUUUUCAUUUAUUGUAUAUUAAUUAUACCUCAAUAAAGUUUUUUUCAAAAAGAGAUUUAAAUGUCACAUCUAUAAAAUGGAAUGUUUGGCCCUUGUUUGGAUACUGAUCUUAACAGUCCAAUUGUAAAAAAGACACUUGAAUUAAUCAAAAAAGUUGAGUGUGAUCUAGGUGUUAGACGAUAGUAAGGAAAUACUUUUAACUUUGUUUUGUGCC